rnacentral:rRNA from 1 species
GACGAACGCUGGCGGCGCGCUUAACACAUGCAAGUCGAACGGAAAGGCCUGCUUUCCCUUGUGGAUUGCGGGUACUCGAGUGGCGAACGGGUGAGUAACACGUGAGUGAUCUGCCCCCAACUUGGGUAUAAGCCUGGGAAACUGGGUCUAAUUCCCGAUAGGACUGCAGGGUGGUGCCUGUGGUGGAAAACGAUUUUCUAGUGGUUGGGGAUGAGCUCGCGGCCUAUCAGCUUGUUGGUGGGGUAAUGGCCUACCAAGGCGGCGACGGGUAGCCGGCCUGAGAGGGUGGACAGCCACAUUGGGACUGAGAUACGGCCCAGACGCCUACGGGCGGCAGCAGUGGUGAAUAUUGCACAAUGGGCGGAAGCCUGAUGCAGCGACGCCGCGUGGGGGAUGACGGCCUUCGGGUUGUAAACUCCUUUCGACCGCGAGGAAGCCACCUGGUUGGAAGGGUGGUGACGGUAGUGGUAGAAGAAGCACCGGCUAACUACGUG